CACUCCUACGGGAGGCAGCAGUGGGGAAUAUUGGACAAUGGGCGCAAGCCUGAUCCAGCCAUGCCGCGUGAGUGAUGAAGGCCCUAGGGUUGUAAAGCUCUUUCACCGGUGAAGAUAAUGACGGUAACCGGAGAAGAAGCCCCGGCUAACUUCGUGCCAGCAGCCGCGGUAAUACGAAGGGGGCUAGCGUUGUUCGGAUUUACUGGGCGUAAAGCGCACGUAGGCGGACUAUUAAGUCAGGGGUGUAAUCCCGGGGCUCAACCCCGGAACUGCCUUUGAUACUGGUAGUCUUGAGUUCGAGAGAGGUGAGUGGAAUUCCGAGUGUAGAGGUGAAAUUCGUAGAUAUUCGGAGGAACACCAGUGGCGAAGGCGGCUCACUGGCUCGAUACUGACGCUGAGGUGCGAAAGCGUGGGGAGCAAACAGGAUUAGAAACCCCAGUAGUCCC
rnacentral:rRNA from 1 species